CAGAAAACAAAUAUAGAGAUAUAUAUAUAGAGAGAUAUAUAUCUGGAGAAGAACUAGAUGUAGUCGACAACUACAUAUAUCUUGGCCAAUGGAUCUCAGUGGAAGAUGAUACAAUAAAAGAAAUUGAACGGUGUGUUAAAUGUGGUUGGCAGGCAUUCGGCAAACUAAGCAUAAUUUCCUCCUAUGCUUGAAAAGUUUUCGAUCAGUGUGUGCUACCUGCUCUAGCAUAUGCCAGUGAAACAUGGACACUAACCACACAGUUGAUACAAAAGCUAAGAGUGGCGCAAAGAAUCUAAAAAGAUACACGCUCAGCAUCACAAGACAAGAUAGAAAGACUCGCACAUAGAUUAGAGAACAAACGAAAGCAUACGAUGCCAUCAAGAGAGUAAAAGAAUGGAAAUGGUCAUAUAGAAAGAAGAACUGAUGGCAGGUGAACCAAGGCAGUCAUAGAAUGGAUCCCACUUGAUAAAAAGCGUCCACGAAAAAGACCUAGAACAAGAUGGAUUGACGACCUCAGCCAAGUAUGGCUUGCCCAAUUGGCAAAAGAAAGCUUGGGAUCGUAUUGGUUGGAAACAUGUGGAAGAGGCGUUCAUCCUGCAGUGGAUAAAAUGAUGGUGGUGGUGAUGAUAAUGAUGAUGAUGAUGAUGAUGAGGGGAAGAACAAAGAGUACUGUGCCCCAGCCCUCUGUUUAUUUUUAUAUACAAUAAGCUCACCAAUUAAAGGAUACCUUAAAUGGGAAAGACCGUGAACUUGCCAGUCUCCACCGCCAGUUUGAUGGAAUACACUCAGAGCUUGGGGAAACUGCCAGAAUAAAAGAAAUGGCUUUGAAGGAAAACAGAAGAUUACAGGAUGAUCUAGCCACAAUGACUAGAGAAAACCAGGUGAUCUCGACUGAAUUGGAAGUAACGUUACGUGAAAAAGAAGAACUGAAAGUUAGAGUUCAUAAUUACAUUACUGAAGUGUCCAGAUUUGAAAGUUUAAUAUCCUUAAAGGUGAGAAAUAUUAUUAAAAUACUAGCUGUACCCAGCCAC